rnacentral:rRNA from 1 species
UGAUCCCAUCCCGAACUCAGCAGUGAAACGAUGUAUCGCCGAUGGUAGUGUGGGGGUUCCCCAUGUGAGAGUAGGUCAUCGUCAAGA